rnacentral:ncRNA from 1 species
UCCCUGGUUGAUCCUGCCAGUAGUUAUAUGCUUGUCUCAAAGAUUAAGCCAUGCAUGUCUCAGUGCAAGCCGUAUUAAGGCGAUACCGCGAAUGGCUCAAUAUAUCAGUUUUGGUUCCUUAGAUCUUACUCAGUUACUUGGAUAACUGUGGUAAUUCUAGAGCUAAUACAUGCAAUCAGAACUCUGACCAGUGAUGGGAUGAGUGCUUUUAUUAGAUCAAAACCAAUCGACGGAGGGCC